rnacentral:lncRNA from 1 species
UUGGUGAAGUAAAUAUUCAAAUUAUAAUUUACUAAUGCGUGUCAUGUAACUGUAAAUUUUCAUGCAUUCCUGCGGACAAAAACGUGUAUGUCAUGCAAAUGCAAUGUAAUAUUACACAAGUGCAUGCAUGUAUGUACUACAAUGGUGGCAGGAUUCCUUCAAUAUUAAAACUGUACUGUUGGGUAGGUAGGACAUAGCUUCUUUGAUCGUUUGAUGAGUGCAUUGAGCAAGUAGGUAGCUUAUGGAGUUGCUGCUUCCUUGGGUUAGGGCAUCAAAGACCAGACAACGCCAAGUUCUCCAAGUGGGUUGAAUUGAAACUUGAAGGGAGCCCUGCGGAGAAUUAGGAGAAUAACUUAUAUUGAACGAGUUCACCGUCACGUAGUGUUUUUUGUUUAAUAAUAUAAUAUCAAGUACAAAUUUUUUUUUCACAUAAUAAUAUAUUAAAUUGGAUUGUAAUACUAUACAAUAGUGAACUCAUUCCAUAUAAGUUGCACUCAAAAUUAAGCUACUAGUAGAGCCCAUUCAUAAUGUUGGGGAGGGAGAAUGUUCCGUGGGCUCCACUACAAAAGCGAUGAGACGCAUACCAACGGAACCACAUUAAGGGCUACCUUGGGCUGUAGCCCAGGUAGUUUUCGGUAGGAAAUAAAAUUUUACAUGUAAUUUUUAUUGAUUUGCGAAUGUAGCCCACCAUAUAUUUUGUCACUAAUGCGAAUUCUCUCAAUUUAAUUAUAUGAUAUAGUUUACAAACCAUCUUUUUUUCUCAUAUCUUUUUUCUCAUCACUUCUUGUACAUGUACAAGUUUGAAGUUGUUUGAAUAACAAAAAUUAUUGGCUCAUCUUAUGAAAAUUUUCUUAAGCUAGUUGAUACUGUAAAAAAUAUAAUAUCAAGUUUCUUUGUUAAUAAAGAUUUAAAAUAUAAUAUCAAGUUUCUUUAUUAAUAAAGAUUUAAAUCUUUAAGUUAGCAUAUCCGGUAAAAAAUUUCUAGCUCUGUCAUUGAAGACACAGCUUUGCUGCACCAAAAGAAAACCCCCCAUUUUCCAACCUCCCCGAGUCCUGCCGUCUCCCCGCUAGUGACUCAACCACUUACUCCUUUCUUUUCUUUUCUUUUCUUUUUCCCAUUUCUUUUAUUUAUUUAAAGAUAUAAUUAGGUUUAACUUGAAAAAGAUAUGAGGAAAAAGAAUUGUAAAUUGGUGGCUGACAUCAAAUAUUCCCUCUAAAGAAGCCAUAUUUGAACAUUUUUAAAAUAAUGAAGGUAAAUUUAUGAUGGUGGUGUCGAAGUGGAUCCCACCCACUCCCCAGGAGGAUGAGGCAAUGCUGAUUAAUGCUCAAGCGGAUGGAAUUCUAUAAAGAAUCAAAGUAGAACUAAAAUAUCUAAAUAUAAUUUAAAUUACAGUUUAAUAAUAUUUUUUUACAUUUAUAAGUCGAAGAUUUCAAAUUUAACUAAUUUAAUUAUGUUAAUGAGUUAAAUACUUAAUUAGUGUGUUAACUUACUGUGUGGCUUAUCUCAAACUAUGCGCACUUUAAAAUAGAAUAAGAUAAUGUGUCACUAACUCUUUUUAUUAAAUUUUCCAAAUAUAGAGUGCCAAUGCAUUGGAGGAGCAAACAUUAAACUCAAACUUCAUAUUUGAGUUUUAACAAUUUGGUUAUGUGCAUUGCAUUGGACUCAAAACUCAAAUCUCAUUUUUCUAGAUUGAAUAACAUUUUUACUGGUUAGCAUGUGUUUCACCUUGCGCUCAAAUCUCAUAUUGAAAUCCAAAUUUGAGUCUCACUUUGCCUUCAUACUCAAAUAUAAGUUUUAAGUCUCACGUGUAUUUGGAGAUGUUUUGCCUUCUAUUUAGACUCAAAUAUCAAAUAUCUCGUAUAAUAUGACAUUAUUUCAUAGGAAAAUUCUUCGUUGCUACGUAGUAUUAAAUGCUAAGGGCAUUGGAUGACCGGAAUUGUUUUUUUAGUUUUAAACAACGAUAUUAUCGAAACUAAAGUGUGGAGAAGGGGCUAAUGUAGUAUCCCACAUCAGUGGGGUGAGGGUUGGUUCCUAGCCUUAUAUGUACUUGCCCCUCUCUUCCUAGCAUGACAUGUCUUGGGUAGUGAGGUUCUCUUGCCUAGGAACAAAUCCAUGAGGGCGUGGCCCAAAGCGGACAAUAUUGUGCUACGGCGGAGUCGGGAUGUGACAGCUAAGCAUCAUAAUGGGCUAGUAAUAAUGUGAUUCAAAUUCGCAUUUGACGAGAAUCAAAAUUAAGAUAUCUCACUUACAAAUGAUGAGAAAACUCUAUUAGAUUAUUGCUUUUUAUUAGUCUUCUGAUUUUAAGUCAUCCAAUAUUUGCAUCAUUUAAGGCUAUAUAGCACCAAAGUGAAACUCUAUUUCAUUAUAAUUUUAUGUUUAUUAUUAAUAUGGUAAAUAAGACAGCCAAAAUUGACGCUGACAUGGUCCGUCUAUCUUGG